AAUUUCCCGCUCUGCUGUCAGUUUCUGCUGUCAAAGUGAUUUGCCCGGUGAUUUGACCAGUUUCUUCAAGUGAUUGGGCAAAUCACUGACCCAAUCACUUUUCUGUGAGUCAGUCCAGUUUUCUGCUCUCUGUCUUCUGCGAGUGAUUUGGCCAGUGUCUUCGAGUGUCUUGGGCAAAUCACUGCCCAUAUCACUUCUGCCUGUUGCCUCCAGGUUUCUGCUGUCAAAGUGAUUUGCCCAGUGAUUUGAGUGUUUUGGGCAAAUCACUGACCC
rnacentral:lncRNA from 1 species